GUGCUCACUUCACAGAGCUCAAUCCGGAGCCUUGCACUCCUUUGUCUCCGUUGGCCCCGUCCAGCUCUCCUGUGUAUCUUUAUUCCCUGAAAGGUCCGUGCAGCCCUCCUUCAUCAGUUCCAGUGCCCGCUCCUCCAGAUUGCCCCUCAGUGUCCGCUCCUCCUGUUACUUACCUGCUUUUGACGUCUUGAUCUGCUGCCGUUCUGCAAAUUAAACCCAUUGUUGUUGCCACUUACCUGAGUGUUUCCCUUGUGUGUGUUGCUGAGACAUGUAUAGUUAUUGUAUGUUUUAAGGAGCUUUUCAUCCAUUUGCCCACAGUAAUUUUUCUUUCUUUUUUAAGCUUAACCACAGGCUUUGUGAAAUGUUGCUCAUCAAAAGAAGUGUGACAGCAGCUUAUAAUCCUCAAACUAACGGCCUGUAAGAAAAGACCAAUGACAACAUUAAACGAGCCCUCAAGAAAUUGGUUAAUGACCAACAGAAUGACUGGGAUGUCUAUCUGGAUGCCACCUUGUUUUCUUUACGAUCCAAGGUACACACCACCACGAAACACUCCCCUUUUCUUUUAAUGUAUGCUUCAAGAAGAUUCAGCAUUACAAAGACCUUCCGUUAUUCACAUUGCCCCUAAAAAGCUUGACCAAGCACGUGACCACGUCAAGGAGGUAAAAUUAACCCCAACAGAUGAAGAGUCAGCAGUAAAGUUUUCAUCAGAUAUAAAGCGCAUCUCAGAAGAACAAGAAGGUUUUAUAUCUACAGAGAUCUCUGUUUGUCGUUAGUUGCCAGUUUGGUCUACCUGACCAGUUUGGUCUUGGCGUUAUGGUUGCUUGCCUGCAAUGUUUAAAUCAUGGUGACCAUUUUGACCUGUUGGUCACAGGUCACAGUUAUUUAUAGGAAGUGGACAUAAUAACAAAUAAAUCACAAAAUAACACAGCCCCAUAAAUAAGUGAAAAAAGAUCAAAAUGCAUGAACAGAGACUAACAGUAUCAGUUUGUCAAAGCUCAAUAGUAAUCAAAACUCACUAAAAAAGCCUACACAACUUCGGCAACCAAAUUAUAAAAUUUUUCAUCUUUAAUAUGGAUACCAUAAAUUGUUUUUGAGUUAUAUCCACUUCCUCCAGCUGUCCUGAGUAUGUUCAAUAUGAUGACUGUUUGCAAGGGCGUAGGUUUGCAUGUGGAUGGUAAGGACAUUACCAAACCUACGGUCUUGACUGUUUGGCACUGUUUGGCGUUCAUUUUGCACAGUUUAUUUUAUGUUGGCUUAUUGGCCCUGUCAAGUUGAUUAAUUAGAAAAAGUACUGACAACACUAACUUUGUCUUUCUUUUUCAGUAAUGAAGGUCUGGGCUGCCAAUAUCAGCGGUCAGGUAGAAGCAGUUGUAGGGCCAUAUCAGCUCUAUGACUCUUCUUUUUACUCACUGCAAGGGACUGAGUGGCUUUCUGAUGAAGUAAGUGAAAUUUUUUUUUUUUUUUUUACUUUUAUGCCAUGGGUUGUUAAAAUCACUUGUAAACCCAG
ensembl:lncRNA